UCUUCCCCCGGGUUUCUCCCUGGCUGGCUGCAUUCUGGGUAUUGUUCGCUCUGGUUCUCAUUGCUGCUGGAGCUUGUGCAUAUCUUGGAUACACAGCGAAGCAAAAGGCCUCUCAGAAGAAACGCUCUAAAGAGGAGGCUCUGUCACUUCUUGAGACUGAGAAGAUGACCUGGGAAUCAG